GCAGGGUGCCUGCUGUUCCCUGCUGUCCACCUGGUAACAAUGAGGGCAGGAGAGUCCCAGGAUCGCCAACCUUGGGAAGUCCAUGGCUGGAAGAAAGGGCCCUUGGGUCCACUGCACAGGAGCCUGUGGCAAGCACCGCACAAGAUGUCCUGGUGUCAGAAGCUGCCAGAUGCACCCAGGUCACCCUCCAGCUAUCUGCUGCAGGAAGUAGAUGUUCAGGUAUUGAUGGCUCAUUGUCACAUUUCAUGAAUGGUUUCACAAUCUUUGCAUUUCCCUCCUCUGUAUCUCCAUGUGCCGGGUGCUGGCUGGAACCCCUGGGGAAUUCUGGCAACACUGAUCCAGCCCCCCCAAUGCCAGGGAUAAUCCAUCCAGGCGCAACUUGGACACUAGGAGUUUUAAAAACGCCAUUGGGAAUUCUCAUACACAGGCAAAGUUGGGAAUCACUGAGGGAUCUUGUUCCAGAUAACCCUGAUGUCUGGAGAGUUACGAGUCACCGCCAGGCCCUGACUGUCCCAUGCAGCAGCCGGCCUUGCACCCUGGGAUGAAGGCCAGUGCCAUGUGGCCAGAUCGAAGCAGCCACGAACUGGGAGCAAGGACCAUGUCCAUUGGCUGACACACGCCGAGUGACCUGUGGCCAGGGCCAUGACAAGUGCACACCCACGUGAGGCUGCUGCUGUGUAGUCCCAGCUGGCACUGUCUGCAGCUGCUUCUCACCUCAGCAGCCACCUUUCUGUCCCUGUGGUUCCCUGUCCUGGCUCCCAUCCCUUUCCCUGCAGAACACCAGGCCUCAGCCCAGCAGCCCCUGAACCCCUCUGUGGCUCUAAGUUUCUGUAAAAAUUCAGUGCUUCUGAUCUCAGUGUACCCGAGGGAAUUGGACAUCCAGGAAUCGCAUAUUACAGGGGCUCGUGUGCACUGUGUUCCACUGGAGCUCACCAUCCCUGGGGCCAGGCUCCCGAACUGCAGGCACAAAGUCGAAGGAGAGUGCAGCCAGCAGCCAUGGCCGCUUUGAGGGAGCCUGCUCAGCUCUGCGUGGCUCUGACCCUGUGGCAUCCAGGGUGACCCCCAAGUGAAUGUGCCAGAAAUCUGACUGCUACACUGGCCAGAAUGGUCACGGUCCCAGAAGACACCAUUUCAAAAACGGUG
ensembl:lncRNA